AUAAGGAGGUUACUCCGUAUUGCUAUCUACAACAUUGGAUAUGUUGAAGGAUUUUUUCCAGAUGCCUACUUCAGUGACAUUGUAGUUCGAGAAGAUGGUUUGUGUGAUGCACUGAAGAAGAAGUAUUUGAAAACACUGGUCUUUUCCAUCUGUGAAAAAUACGAAGGCCCGGUGCUUCAGGAAUUCAUUUUCUCGUUUAGCUACCCCAGCACAGGUCCUGAUGAAGUUGUGAUGAUGAUGACUCGCACAGGAAGCAAAGUGAUUACAAAGUUCGAAGCAAGUGCUGUCAAAGUAACUCCUAAUCAAAUGAGGAGCUCUGCUUGUAAGAUGAUUCGGUUGAUAGUUCAGCAGACAAGGACAUACCCGGUACAAGAGGAGCAUGCUAUUGAAAUGAAGCUAUCGUUCUACGAGGAUACAACUCCUGAAGAUUAUGAGCCACCUUUUCCCAAGUAUUGUGUUAACAGUGAGGAUGUAGCCAUAUGGAACAACAACAUCUUGAAGAUGGAAGUAGGGAAUAUAAACAACAAGCACGUUGUGUUAACAUUGAAGGUUAAGAGUGCCCAGUCCUACUGCAAGAACAGUAUAGUUGAUGAUUGUUCUGACUAUGAGAUGUGCGAAUGCGAAACAUAUGGUUACACUUCAGCUCCCAAUGAUGAUACUGAAGAAGACUAUCACACGGGAAUGCUAGCAUCACCAAUUAAAGCAUGGUACCCACAAGACACUGGAACUCAAAUGACGCGUAAAAGGAAAACUGGAUUUGUGCUGGUAUCUUCUUCAAAAAAGAUCAAGUUCCUUUUGGAUUCAGGUGCCUCUCACCAUAUUUGUAAUGAUAAAGCCAUCAUGCGCAAUUUGAAGGACGUGAAGAAGGAGUACCAAGUUUCACUUGCUUCAUGUGGUGGGUUAGAGCUGAAAGCGGAAAUGAUGGGAACUGUGGUCACAAAAGAUAUGAAACUCAGCCAAGUGGGCUAUAUACCUGAAAUGGAAUUCAAUGUCGUAUCCAUUGGACAAUUGGCAGUCCAAGGUUUGAUAACAACAGGCGGGGAUGGUCGGUUCAGUGUCAUUGAUGCAAAGGAAGCGAGAGUGGUUGGUGAAGGGCAUUUACAAAGAAAAACAGAGAAAGUUGAUGGCAGAGUAUACCAUGAAUAUGUAUUCAAAUCAUUGAUCCGGGAGAUUGAAGGUGAUGAUGAGAAGUUAAUUGAACCCUUGCGGGCAGAUGAUGAUGAAAUCGAUGAGGAAGAGGAGAAGAAAUGCUGGGUAAUUGACACAGGGUGCGGGAGACACAUGAUUCCAGAUAUUAGUAUACUAACCCAAGUCAAGCGUGAGGAGGUCACAUUCCAAGCAGCAUGUGGAAUCGUGUCAUCAACCCAUAAAGGAUUGGUCAAGGAGGGAAAUCUCAUAUUGAGGGAUGUGUUGUGCUGCCCAAAAGUCACAAGAAAAAUGAUAUCAGGCCCAAUGUUGGAUUUAAGCGGCCAUAGGUUCACUUUUAACGAUAAGAAAUGCUGCAUAGUGCACAAGGAUGGGUUGGAGCUGAGAGGGGUUGGCAAACUGGAUAGGGCGACUAGAACGUACUUUUAGAAACCCGGUGAAGACAGUAGAGCAGCAGCAGCAGCAAAAGAGGAGCCAAAGAUGUUGGCAACAGCAGCAGAAGGAUAUGGUGGACCAAAACAAGAAGCCGACACGAAGAAUAUGAGGGGCAAAGGCAAGAAGACUGCCCAAGCAACUAAGAGGCUGCGACUUAGUUAGACAUGAAACCUGAGAGUCCACCCCACACACGGGAGAAUCGGAUACUUCACUAGAAUUGGUGUUCAUCUUGAAUGUUCAUUGUCAACCCAAUCUUGAUUGUCAACCGUUUUGGCAUAUUUUCAGUGCAACUGCUUACAGUACUUUGGUAGGGUUGUACUGUGUACCUGAUGAGUGGACUACUUAUCUGAUUUCAGUCAUUGAUUGAGUACAUUUAAGUGUACUGACUACUGACAAGCUUCAUUUAUCACACUGAUUGUUCCAAUUGUUU
rnacentral:lncRNA from 1 species